rnacentral:rRNA from 1 species
GGUGCUUGCACCUGAUUGAUUUUGGUCGCCAACGAGUGGCGGACGGGUGAGUAACACGUAGGUAACCUGCCCAGAAGCGGGGGACAACAUUUGGAAACAGAUGCUAAUACCGCAUAACAGCGUUGUUCGCAUGAACAACGCUUAAAAGAUGGCUUCUCGCUAUCACUUCUGGAUGGACCUGCGGUGCAUUAGCUUGUUGGUGGGGUAAUGGCCUACCAAGGCGAUGAUGCAUAGCCGAGUUGAGAGACUGAUCGGCCACAAUGGGACUGAGACACGGCCCAUACUCCUACGGGAGGCAGCAGUAGGGAAUCUUCCACAAUGGGCGCAAGCCUGAUGGAGCAACACCGCGUGAGUGAAGAAGGGUUUCGGCUCGUAAAGCUCUGUUGUUAAAGAAGAACACGUAUGAGAGUAACUGUUCAUACGUUGACGGUAUUUAACCAGAAAGUCACGGCUAACUACGUGCCAGCAGCCGCGGUAAUACGUAGGUGGCAAGCGUUAUCCGGAUUUAUUGGGCGUAAAGAGAGUGCAGGCGGUUUUCUAAGUCUGAUGUGAAAGCCUUCGGCUUAACCGGAGAAGUGCAUCGGAAACUGGAUAACUUGAGUGCAGAAGAGGGUAGUGGAACUCCAUGUGUAGCGGUGGAAUGCGUAGAUAUAUGGAAGAACACCAGUGGCGAAGGCGGCUACCUGGUCUGCAACUGACGCUGAGACUCGAAAGCAUGGGUAGCGAACAGGAU